AGGAAGGGAGGCGGCUCAGGGCCAUGCAGCCACGCUUUGCUAAAGGGAGCCCACCUCCCUAUGGGAGAAAAGCUUUGGAGGAGACAUCAGGGACUUGUGAGUCAUUCCCUUGCCAGCUACGUUCCAGCUCAACUCAUUGACCUUGAAAAAGCCAUGCAUAUGCCCUUCCUGUUAUUCCCAGAGAGAGAAGCAUGAUGAGAAACUUGAGGAGUCAAGACUGUGUUUUUCACUGUGCAGUUACCUGCAGGAGAAGAGCCACGAGCAGAGCAGACCUGUCCUGGCUGCCUCCCGGGGGGUGCUGCCCUCCAGUGCCAACACCUGGCCCUGAUGCCAGAGCAGAAACCCACAGAUACGGCAAGAAAAGACAAAAAGCCAACUUAUUUGAUGUUCUGCAUUUCCAAAAGGAGACGCUACUAAAGUGGUUCUAUGGUUGGUACCACAGUGAGAAGCAGCAUGUGCAUGGGUGCCUGGGGAGCCAGGCUCUGCUCCACCAGGCCUUUUUUCAUCUUCCCACGAGGCUACUCAUGGCGCCAGAUGCUGCCUCUCCAACCUGGUGGUGCCAACAUGCUGUUUGAUUGCAGAUUGCUGUUCAAAAAUGGAGAUGAGCACUGGAAGUAGGAGUUUUUUCUACCUGCAGCCUUCUGGUUCUCCUCCAAACCUUCACAUCUCCAGUUACACUCUUGGAGCCUUCUGAUUGUUAUGGCCAAUCAGAGGGAGGGGGAAAACAAAAUUAACUCCAGUGCUUCACUGUGAAAGUGUUGUGCAGGUACACCUCAAAGUGCAUGCUCUGCUGUGGCAAGUUUUAUGAGGAAACAACAGGCUGAUAACAUAUACAAAGUCUUGAAUCCAGCACUUUCCCUGCUGUACACUGCUCAGGAAUCUGCUCUUUUUUACCAAUAAUUUUCAGUUUCAUUUACUGUCAGACAUUCACAUUGGAAUUAUGUUAGCCCUGAUUUACAUAGACUCUGGAAAUCCCAAGUACUCAUCUAUUCAGAAAUUAAACCAAAAGAGUCACUUCAUUUCCUACGUAAUUACUUUAAUGACACUGCACGAUCAUAAAGGUUGCCCGUAUUACAUAGCUGUUCAUUAAACCAUUGCAGCUCCUGAAGCAUUUGUACUGUACAAGUGCCUAAGUACUUCUCCUGCCAGCACAGACCUCACAGGUACUUUUUCAGAGCCAUUAGGAUUACACUUUCUUUGAAUAAUGGUGCAAGUGACCAUCACUCAUAUCUUUUUGUCCUCUGAUUUUUCUCAUCAAUGAGACCUUCCUUCUCGUAUUUUCACUUAACCAAUACUCAUGAAAUAUCCCAAGGCACACACUGGACCAGGUGCUUUCUUGUAAGGUAACUCAGUGAACUCAGUGGUGUUCUCUGCUUGUACAGAUAGGAGGCACAGAAAAGGCUGAGAAGAAAAACACCCCAAACCCACAUGAUAAGGGACACCAGUGAAAGGGGAUGAAAAUAGUUCCUAGUGCUGCCAGUACAUGAACAGCCUGACUGAGGCCAACCUGCAUCAUUUGUACCUCAAAAUGGAUAAGCACAGCCAUUCCAGUACAAGUGUGCUAAUAGCCAUGCUCAUCGCUGGGAAGUGGACCUGCCAUGCACCCUGGGUAGGGCAGCCUAAAUCACCAGCAGACACCCACCUCUUACCUGAUUCCUUAAGCUGACAGCUCCAGAUAUCACCAUCACCCAGAUUUGAAAGGCAGGGCUUUCUCCAUCCUUAGCAGCCCAGUAAUUUUCUCAAAGCUAUUGCUAAUUUGAAAGCUGACAGCUUCUAUCUCCCCACCUGUUUGGUUUAUUACAAAAGUUUCAUCAGACCAGCUUUACACUGCUGUGUCCUUCACUCGCUCUGGGCAAAGGGGGACAAGGAGGGCUGUCAGCUGCGGUGCUCAGUCACUGCUGUGAUGUUUCUCCUGGAGCAGGCACUGCAGUCAGUUCCCGUGCUCCCGUGUCUGCUAGCCUUGGCUCUGGAUGUACCAUGGAGGCUUCCAGCUGAUUUAAUCAGUUCGUUGUUCCCUGGUUUGAUGUAAUAAGUUCAUUGUUCCCCAGUUCAACUUAAUUGAGUCAUUGUUACUCGAUUUAACUGACUGAUUGCUGCCUGACUUGAUUUAAUUAAUUACCACCUGACUUGCUGAAUAAGCAAACUCCUGCUGCUGGCUGCCAGUACAGCUCACUGCUCACAGCCCAUACUAUCUGACCCUUCCCCUGCACCAGCCCACUCUUCUCCCAGAACCUGAUCUCUAGCCAUAGCCUCUGUUCCCUUCCUGCUCCUCCAUUUUCUCCCUGUAGCUUUUCCUCAGCCCAACGAGGUCAUCCUCUAAUCCUUCCCUUCCUUCUCCUCUGUUAUUUCCUGGCUUUUGCUCUGGACCUGCCUCCAGCCUUCCUCCUCUUGCCACUGUCCCACAGAAACCUUCUCUGUUGCACUGAAUCAUAGAAUCAUUAAGGUUGGACAAGUCCUUUAAGAUCAUCUAGUCCAACUGUCCACCUACCUCCAAUAUUGCCCACUAGACCAUGUCUCUAAGUAUUACACCUACUUUUUCCUUAAACACCUCCAGGGACAGUGACUCCACCACCUCCCUUGGCAGCCUGUGCCAAUGCCUUACCACUCUUUCUACUCAUUCCUGUAAAGCUGUUCCUGAUCUUCCCCAAAGACUUUGCAUUUUGCUUGCCUGAUGCUUCAUAGGAAUUUCUACAGUAGAUUUCUAUUUUUUAAAUCCUUUUCUGCCUAGUCGUCUUACUCAGGCAGCAGCACUUGUCCAGUGCUUUCCUUUUCCUUCACUUCCACCAGCUGCCAGUACUGAGCUUUCCCUUCCUUUAACAUAUCUCACAGAAGCCUCUCCUCUUGCUGCCAGCUCCCUAGCAACAUUUCCU